GGAAUUGCUGCGGGAGCAGGGCCGGGAGCUGCGGGAGGAGCAGGAGGAGCUGGAGCUGCUGAUGAACGGAAUCUUCAAAGGGAUCUUCGUGCACCGCUACCGGGAUGUGGACCCCGAGAUCCGGGGCAUGUGCCUGCAGGAGCUCGGGCUCUGGGUGCAGAAGUUCCCGGGCUCGUUCCUGAGCGACGGCCACCUCAAAUACCUGGGCUGGAGCCUGCACGACAAG